UAAAAAAUAAGCUAAUAAAGCUAUUAGGUUCAUACCCUAACUAUAAAGGUUUCAAUCCUUUUUUUUUAA
rnacentral:tRNA from 1 species